UUUUCUCUCCUUCUCCAAGAUGGCGGCGAUCGGCGGCGCUAAGGCGGGAUCCGGGCGAGCCGAGUGAAGAGCUUUGUUGAACUAGCUGUUGCCGCAAAACUGCCGGGAGAAUCUCACUGGUUUGCCGUGGGGACCACAAAAAUGGUGGUCCUGGGGGCUGUUUGUGUAAAUCACCUGGUAUUUUGUGUAUUCCUUGCGUGCAACCCGGCUUGGCCGUGCCUUCGUGGUGGGCGCCUUCUCUAUGCAGGCCCAUUUUCCCUCCACCAACUACUACUUGUAGAUUCACUUUAUAGCGUACAAAAGCGGAGAAACAUCUCUGUCCCCUCUUUCUGAGGGUAAGCUGGUGGCUGAUUAUAUUUCCUCCUAAUAGAACAAAGUAAAAAACUGAAUCCCAAAUAAAGCCUGUUGAUUGGACAAGGCUUGUCAAAAUUUCGAUUGCUGGUCUGAUGGAAUGUGUGUUGUCAGCCAAUCUGUGCGGUGGUCGUGGUUCCGCUUAAUUGCACUGCAAUGAGAGGAUUCAAUCCCCGUCCCAGACUGUCGGGAUCUCUGCAGCUUCCAGAGCUGGCAGGGGCUGG
rnacentral:sRNA from 1 species